UUUUAUGAUGACAAAGGGCCAAAGCGCCUGAACCUAUAUAAACCCAGCUCUUCGAACAGAACCAGCUCGCUGGGGACGUCAUGAGAUGAAAUUUCUGUCUGAUCG
rnacentral:snoRNA from 1 species